rnacentral:rRNA from 1 species
GACAGAGGGUGCAAACGUUGUUCGGAAUUACUGGGCGUAAAGCGUGUGUAGGUGGCUGCGUAAGUCGGAUGUGAAAGCCCUGGGCUCAACUCAGGAAGUGCACUCGAUACUGCGUAGCUUGAGUACCGGAGAGGUUGGUAGAAUUCUCGGUGUAGAGGUGAAAUUCGUAGAUAUCGAGAGGAAUACCUGUGGCGAAGGCGGCCAACUGGACGAGUACUGACGCUGAGGCACGAAGGCCAGGGGAGCAAACGGG